UAAGUACAGCGAUUGUUGUGCAGCUGUUUUCAGCUUUGUUAUUAUUUGUAAAAUUUGCUUGGUCGACCAAUAUGGCCCAUCAAAAUUGCUUAUUCUGUGAUAUCUCAAAUGGCAAAACUGAAACAAUUUUGGAAAUGGAGACUGACGAAUUCGCCAUAUUUAAAGACAUACGACCGGCAUCGCGACAUCAUUAUCUUAUUGUGACAAAGCAGCAUUAUGACAGUCUAAAGGUCCUCAACCAAUCGCACGAAAAAAUGGUGCUUCGCAUGGAGCAGGGCCUCAAGAGCUUUUUUACAUCAAAAGGCAUUAAUACAACGGAUGCGCUCUUCGGAUUCCAUGUGCCGCCUUUCAUCUCUGUGAAGCAUUUGCACAUGCAUGGAAUUGCGCCGCGCUCCGAGAUGAGUUUUGUGUCUCGCUGGGUAUUCAGGCCCGCGACGGCAUGGUUUAAGACUGUCGAAGAAGCACAGGCUUAUCUGAACAAGAAGGCGAUUUAGCUCUGGAACGAGCUCCUGACAAUGAAAUGUGGCCAACGAGACUAAGCCAGCUAGUUGAUAUAAGAUUUUCUUAGGUAAACUAUAAUUUUAGAAAAUAAGUACCCUUCACCAUUUUCAAAAAUAAAUAUCUAAGCUAUUAAUCGUUUUAAA